rnacentral:tRNA from 1 species
CAUUAAGAAGCUAUGCAACAGCACUAGCCUUUUAAGCUAGAAAAAGAGGACCCAACUUCCUCCUUAAUGA